CACCAGUGGCUCACCCUUGUAAUCCUAGCUACUCGGGAGGCUGAGAUCUGAGGACCACCAUUGGAAGCCAGCUGAGACAAGAAAGUCUGGUGAAACUCUC